rnacentral:tRNA from 1 species
AAAGAGUUAGUUAAAAUAUAUAACAUAAAUAUGUCAAAUUUAAAUUAUUAAAAAUUAAUACUCUUUU